rnacentral:rRNA from 1 species
UACGGAGGGUGCAAGCGUUAUCCGGAUUCACUGGGUUUAAAGGGAGCGUAGGUGGGUCUGUAAGUCAGUGGUGAAAUCUCCGGGCUUAACCCGGAAACUGCCAUUGAUACUAUAGGUCUUGAAUUUUCUGGAGGUCAGCGGAAUAUGUCAUGUAGCGGUGAAAUGCUUAGAUAUGACAUAGAACACCGAUUGCGAAGGCAGCUGACUACAGGAACAUUGACACUGAGGCUCGAAAGCGUGGGGAUCAAACAGG